GAAGGGUUGGGGGCGGACCUUGGUGCUGAUCUUCGAGCCUGAAAAGGGGCCCUGCUAGAUCAGAUUAAGGUGCUAGAUGGGCUUGCGGAUGGACCGGGUCUGUCUCCUGACGACUGGAUUAGGAGAUACUCCCUCGAGGUCUCGCUCAUGGACAGUUACAAGAGCGACGAGCUGUUUUGGCAGCGUCGAGGGGGCCAGAACUGGCUCCUUAAGGGGGAUACGAACACUGCCUACUUCUUGGUGAUUGCCAAUAGCCGCAGCCGGAAAUGUGCCAUCCCUUUCCUCUGGGAUGGGGCUAUUCUUCUGGAGAGCCCAGAUGACAUUUCCACCCAUAUUUACUCCUUCUAUAAGGACUUUUUUUGGCUGAGCCGCGUGGAGGUGUAUCCCUCUGCGCUGACUUCUGGCCGCUUGCCGAUCGGGUCUCUGAUGCGGAGAAUGCGGAGCUUACUCUCCCUUUCUCUCCUGAGGAGGUGGGAUGGGUGA
rnacentral:rRNA from 1 species